rnacentral:rRNA from 1 species
AUUGAACGCUGGCGGCAGGCUUAACACAUGCAAGUCGAGCGGAGAUGAGGUGCUUGCACCUUAUCUUAGCGGCGGACGGGUGAGUAAUGCUUAGGAAUCUGCCUAUUAGUGGGGGACAACAUUCCGAAAGGAAUGCUAAUACCGCAUACGUCCUACGGGCGAAAGCAGGGGAUCUUCGGACCUUGCGCUAAUAGAUGAGCCUAAGUUGGAUUAGCUAGUUGGUGGGGUAAAGGCAUACCAAGGCGACGAUCUGUGGCGGGUCUGAGAGGAUGAUCCGCCACACUGGGACUGAGACACGGCCCAGACUCCUACGGGAGGCAGCAGUGGGGAAUAUUGGACAAUGGGGGGAACCCUGAUCCAGCCAUGCCGCGUGUGUGAAGAAGGCCUUAUGGUUGUAAAGCACUUUAAGCGAGGAGGAGGCUACUGAGACUAAUACUCUUGGAUAGUGGACGUUACUCGCAGAAUAAGCACCGGCUAACUCUGUGCCAGCAGCCGCCGUAAAAC